GAUGAACGCUGGCGGCGUGCCUAAUACAUGCAAGUCGAACGAAGAUCUAGCUUGCUAGAUCUUAGUGGCGAACGGGUGAGUAAUACAUAAAUAAUCUGCCCAUAUGACUGGGAUAACUAUUGGAAACGAUAGCUAAUACCGGAUAGGUUGAUCGGAGGCAUCUCUGAUGAAUUAAAGUAGGAUUUCUACACAAAUGGAUGAGUUUAUGGCGCAUUAGUUAGUUGGUGGGGUAACGGCCUACCAAGACGAUGAUGCGUAGCCGACCUGAGAGGGUGACCGGCCACACUGGGACUGAGACACGGCCCAGACUCCUACGGGAGGCAGCAGUAGGGAAUUUUCGGCAAUGGGCGCAAGCCUGACCGAGCAACGCCGCGUGAGUGAUUAAGGCCUUCGGGUUGUAAAGCUCUGUUGUAAGGGAAGAACAUUCAGGAUAGGAAAUGAUCUUGAACUGACGGUACCCUACCAGAAAGCCACGGCUAACUACGUGCCAGCAGCCGCGGUAACAC
rnacentral:rRNA from 1 species